CCUACGGGUGGCUGCAGUGGGGAAUAUUGGACAAUGGGGGCAACCCUGAUCCAGCCAUGCCGCGUGUGUGAAGAAGGCCCUCGGGUUGUAAAGCACUUUCAGUGAGGAAGAACGCCUGGUGGUUAAUACCCAUCAGGAAAGACAUCACUCACAGAAGAAGCACCGGCUAACUCCGUGCCAGCAGCCGCGGUAAUACGGAGGGUGCGAGCGUUAAUCGGAAUUACUGGGCGUAAAGCGCGCGUAGGUGGCUUGAUAAGCCGGUUGUGAAAGCCCCGGGCUCAACCUGGGAACGGCAUCCGGAACUGUCAAGCUAGAGUGCAGGAGAGGAAGGUAGAAUUCCCGGUGUAGCGGUGAAAUGCGUAGAGAUCGGGAGGAAUACCAGUGGGGAAGGCGGCCUUCUGAACUGACACUGACACUGAGGUGCGAAAGCGUGGGUAGCAAACAGGAUUAGAUACCCGGGUAGUC
rnacentral:rRNA from 1 species